GAAUGCUUCACUAAAAGAUUUCUUCAAUAUUAAAGUGGUAGCACUAUCGAGUUUUCAACACAUGCCAGAACAGUUUAAAAAUGAGGUUGCUGGUCUGAGAGAAUGGAUCAUCUCCAUUUCUACAUCUGGUGAAGGUGCUGCAGGGAGUACGCCAGCCUCGGGUUUUGCUGAUUAUGCAAAGAAAAUCUGGGACAAAAUUAAGGAGGACAAGGACCUUGACUUACCUCAUUACCGAAUCAUGGUUGCUGAGAUACGCUGUAACAAAAUUGCUGAAGAG